CCAAUCUUAUACAUCUUAAAGUCAGAACUACUACUAAUCAACAUUGAAACUAAAUAGGGGCUUCAAUAGAGUAUUACAACCAUUCGAAUCAGCUAUCAAAAUACAGUAACAUGCAAUGAAUUUGUUCAAACGCCUAAACCAAAAUCUGGAAGAGGUAAAUAACCACAAGUUAUUAACAAGGCUCACAUGAAUACAUAACCUAAUAAUCAAAAAUAAGCUACCGUAAAACAUGGUAUCAUCAACAUUCCCAUUCCCAUUUCAACAUGUCAUUUGCGGUCGAAUGAGUACCUGGUUACAACAAAGAUAAACAAAGAGACUUGAGAAUUAGCCUAAAGCAACACCAAGGUAGCAAGUAUAGCAGCAGAGGUCAGCAGUAAAACCAAACCAAAUAGUGUCCAAAAAUCCAGCAAUUUCAGCUCUUUAAACCAUUUUUACCCAGAUAAAACUAGAGUUCUUUGAAGUUUUUUAAAUUCCCGUUGAGACUCAAGAUUAGGGAGCAAAUUCAGAUCUAAUUCCCACCCCAAAAGAUGCAGAAAUUUCAAUGUAUUUUUCAGAAUAACUUCCCUCAGACCUUUUUGCUUUUCAGUAUUUUUCUCUUUUAAGUCUCUUAGGUCUGCCUUGAAAGGCAAGAAAUGAUGCCUUUAUAGGCAAGAAAUAGGGCAGCCUAAAAGAAUUCAGAUUUGCAUUUCUACCCUUUUGAUAUUUUCAUUAUUGCUUAGAUAUCCCCAAGUUAAAAAAUAGAUUUUCAUAUUAAUCCCCACCCCAGCUUCCAGGAAGCUUCCCCAAUCAGUUAUUCAGAGAUUCUCUGAUUAGACUUCUUAAUUUACCCUUCAAUACCCCAGAUAUUACCCUUGAAGCAAGAUAGAAUAUGGGUCAAAUUGACUCAACUCAAUUUGGUGUGGGUCUGUAUAACCCAGGUCGAAUCCCCUCUUGGGCUUUCUGACUUCAAAACACAAUUCGAGCCCCAAUCAACAAUCAUAAUUUAAUAGGCUAAACAGAAUUUCCAACAAGAAAAACCAGCAAGCUUUUAAGAAAAUAGACCCAAAAAAAUGAAAAAGGGACAUAAACUGAUUAACAAAACCAUUAAGCUAAACUCGUCAUUAGGCUAAUUAUGCAACCAAAACGAACGAAAGAUGAACACAUAAGAAAAGAAAAGAGAAAACAGAAAAAAAGAUGAAAAUGAUCUUAAAAGAAAGAAGAAGAAACAUGCAAGAAAAAUGAAAAGAGACUGAGAAUUACCUAAAGAACUGGACGGGCCUAAACUUGAAUACAAUCCUUGAGCUUUCGAUUUUGACCGAAAUGGUUUUAAUCAUGUGUUCUCAAAUGAAAACACAUGAAUAAAACCAGUUUCGGCUUCAAAUCCUUAAAAAGGCACACUGAUUUAGGUUUCAGAAUUUUAGGGUUCGGAUCAUUGAUUUGAGAUUCGAAGAAUUUAGGAUAGAUUCGAGGGAAAAGAAGUGAAGAUUUAGAAUGAGGAGAUGAAGGGGAGUUUGGGAUGUUAAUUUGGGGUGGUUUGGUGGUGGCGCCACCUCCGGCGGUGGGGGAAUUUAGGUGAGUCGUCGUUAGGUUUUGGCAAGGGCGGGUUUGUGAGGGAGAUGAGUGAGGG
rnacentral:lncRNA from 1 species